rnacentral:tRNA from 1 species
GCGGGUGUGGCGGAACCGGUAGACGCGCAGCUCUUAAAAAGCCGUGCCUGAAAAGGCGUGUGGGUUCGAUCCCCACCACCCGCACCA